rnacentral:snRNA from 1 species
AUCGCUUCUUGGCCUUUUGGCUAAGAUCAUGUGUAGUAUCUGUUCUUAUCAGUUUAAACUACUUUUUCUUUUGACACCAUCU